GCUGUUGAGCAAGACUUCGCUGCUUCGCACACAAGCGCAUGUGUGUGAUAGUGUGAGUUUGCCCACCUCUGAUUUCAAGCCAGGUAUUUAACUAU